GUGCCAUCUCUCCUUGAAGAGAAUUUGGGACACUUCACCUCUCCCAAACAUCAUUAGUCCUGAAAUUAUGAGCUCUAGUCCAUCGAUCCCAAAUGUAGAAAAUUCUCUGACAAGGGGAGAAACACUACAAAUUGAUUUGACAGGUUGAAAUCCUGAACUUUAAUUUUAUACUAAAAGAAACAUGACUGAAAGAGAUAGAAAUCAGACAGUUGAC
rnacentral:misc_RNA from 1 species